UACGUAGGGGGCAAGCGUUGUCCGGAAUCAUUGGGCGUAAAGCGCGCGUAGGCGGCCCUGUAAGUCCGUUGUGAAAGUCAAAGGCUCAACCUUUGAAAGCCGAUGGAUACUGCAGGGCUAGAGUCCGGAAGAGGCGAGUGGAAUUCCUGGUGUAGCGGUGAAAUGCGUAGAUAUCAGGAGGAACACCGAUGGCGAAGGCAGGUCUCUGGGCUGACACUGACGCUCAUGCACGAAAGCGUGGGGAUCAAACAGG
rnacentral:rRNA from 1 species